UACGGGGGGGGCAAGCGUUGUUCGGAAUUACUGGGCGUAAAGGGCUUGUAGGUGGCCAACUAAGUCAGACGUGAAAUCCCACGGCUUAACCGGGGAACUGCGUCUGAUACUGGAUGGCUUGAGUGUGGGAGAGGGAUGCGGAAUUCCCGGUGUAGUGGUGAAAUGCGUAGAUAUCGGGAGGAACACCAGUGGCGAAGGCGGCUUCCUGGCCUGUUCUUGACGCUGAGGCGCGAAAGCUAGGGGAGCAAACGGG
rnacentral:rRNA from 1 species